AAUCAACCAACAGUAUCUAGAUACCUACAAAGGACAUAUAAUUCUGUGCAAGGGAUUGCGGGCGAUACUACGAUUUUUAAAUUUUAAACUUGGCUUCAUUUAUACAUAAGAUUUCCUUCCUUAAAUGCAGUCCUGGGAACGCCUAACUGCAAAGAAGCCAAAUUUUUAGCAAAGAAAUGGGUGAUAUUGAGUUUUCUAUCGUCUGCUCAUAAAGUGAAUGUUGACAUUAAAAUCAGACUAGAUUUGUAAAAGCAUUUGGGACCGUGCAUUUAACGUUUGCCAUUUAAGUGUCAUCCAUCGCAGCCCACCGAGAUCUCUUGUAACCAGUCAUUGGUUACACGCUGCAGAUGCUCACUGCCCCACUUAGACACAAGGUGCAGAGAUUUUCUCCACGUGUAAGCAGUCAGCUGAGCACAUCUCUGUAAGGCAAUAGCAGCAAGGUUUGACCGUGGUUGUUGCUUAGUUGAUUAACUGAUAACCUCCUGGUACUUUGUUUUAUUGUUUUGUGAUAAAGAUGGACCCAAAAGCACGCUAAACAAGUGCUCCACACUGAAGUGUGUCCCAAGCCUAUAGUGUUUAACACAGGUUAUACAGACGAUUCUCACUGCUCUUUAAAAGUUUUAUUUUUAUGUUAUGUAUACUAUACCUGCAUGAAUACAGGAAAGUGUGCCUUGCGCACACAGGAACCUGCAGGGGUCAGAGGAAGGCGUCACGUGGAUCCCCUAGAGUUGGAGUCACAGGCAGUUGUGAACUACUGUGGGUAUUAAGAACUGAACCUGGGUCCUUGGCAGGAGCAGUGUGUGAUCUUACACACUCAACCACCUCUCCAGCCCCAGUUACCACGAUUUUUAAAAGUUGUUUCGUUUAAUUCAACAGAAAGCAGCCCAAAGCUGAGGCUCAGUAAAUACUGAAUGAAUUAGCAAACGAAUACCAGGACUCAAAAGAUGUUAACAUUUUAAUAAAUCAUAAGAAAAUGUGGUUU
rnacentral:lncRNA from 1 species